CCUACGGGAGGCAGCAGUGAGGAAUAUUGGUCAAUGGACGCGAGUCUGAACCAGCCAAGUAGCGUGCAGGAAGACGGCCCUAUGAGUUGUAAACUGCUUUUGUACGAGGGUAAACCCAGACACGCGUACCUUUCUGCAAGUAUCUUACGAAUAAGGAUCGGCUAACUCCGUGCCAGCAGCCGCGGUAAUACGGAGGAUUCAAGCGUUAUCCGGAUUUAUUGGGUUUAAAGGGUGCGUAGGCGGUCGGAUAAGUUAGAGGUGAAAGACUGAGGCUCAACGUUGAAAUUGCCACUGAUACUGGUAGGCUAGAGAGUAGUUGAGGUAGGCGGAAUGUGGGGUGGAGCGGUGAAAUGCUUAGAGAUCAUGCAGAACACCGAUUGCGAAGGCAGCUUACCAAGCUACGACUGACAUUGAGGCACGAAAGCGUGGGGAGCAAACAGGAUUAGAUACCCUUGUAGUC
rnacentral:rRNA from 1 species